GAUUAACGCUGGCGGCGUGCAUAACACAUGCAAGUCGAACGAUGAAACUUUAAUGAACCCUUCGGGGAGAAUUAAAGCGGAUUAGUGGCGAACGGGUGAGUAACGCGUGAGUAACCUGCCUUACACAAGGGGAUAGCCUUUGGAAACGAAGAAUAAUACCCUAUAAAACCAUAAAAGCACAUGCAAUUAUGGUCAAAGUGAUAGCGGUGUAAGAUGGACUUGCGUCUGAUUAGCUAGUUGGUGAGAUAAAAGCCCACCAAGGCAACGAUCAGUAGCCGGAUUGAGAGAGUGUACGGCCACAUUGGGACUGAGACACGGCCCAGACUCCUACGGGAGGCAGCAGUGGGGAAUUUUGCACAAUGGGGGAAACCCUGAUGCAGCGACGCCGCGUGAUUUAGAAGGCCUUCGGGUUGUAAAAAUCUUUUGUAUAGGAAGAAAAUGACAGUACUAUACGAAUAAGGUCCGGCUAAUUACGUG
rnacentral:rRNA from 1 species